GAUCCAACCAAGUCUGUCAUGAAGAGCUGCAAUGAGGCAUCCCCGAGAGAAAGGCGAGUCCAGCAUUCAAUUCUAGAACAUUUUCCAAAGAUGCCUUUCAACAAAAUGAUUGUUCCAGAAGCUCCUGUAAUCCUAGCACCAGUUCUCACCGAUCAAAUAAGGGAAAUGUUGUGGCCCCAUGACUUUUACAGGAGGAGAACAGACUGCUUAAUGUGGAGUCUUCCAAUGGUGUGAUGAAUGCCCCACAGAUGGCUAACACAGACGACUGUCAGAGGACCCAGUAAGUUGGGAA